CCAUAGUUUUUCUUUUCUCUGCCUCUACAUCUCACUCAUCUCUACCUCUGCCUCUGCCUCUGCCUCUGCCUCUCACUCGUCUCUCAACAUCUAACUUGUCUUUGCCUCUGCCUCUCACUUGUCUCUCAUCACUUCCUCUCUUAUGCCGCCCUAGUUUUUCCUCAUCUUUGGGUUAUUCCUGAAAACUUGCCAGAACUACUACUAAGUCGUCGAAAUCGGUCAAUUCUGUUGAAGAAGUUGAUUUCUAGGAAUAUUUGUGAGAUAAAAGGCAUCGAAGCUGGGUUUUGAAGAUAAAAUUAUGUAAUCCAUAAGGUAUCCUUUCUUUCUGUUUUCUUUUUUAAUAAAUUAGUUUGUGUGGAUGUUUGAUUUUUGUUAUUCCUCUUGUUGAAUUCUGCACUGCUUAUGCUCAUAAAUUGAACUUUAUGCUUAAUUCCGGUGUGUGAUUUGUCUGGCGUUUGCAAUGAAUUUUGUUUAUUCCACUUAUUGAACUUUAUGAUGUGCGUAAUUACAGAAAUAGAAGAGCUUGAACAUCGAGCGGAAUGUGGAUUAGUUUGUAACAGAAAGUUGUUUUGUAGUGCAUUGAGUUUCUUAUGGAUGCAGUCUUUUUUACAUAAUCAUAUAUUUGUUACAUUUUCCCUUUUCUUCUAUUUAUCAAGCACAAUUAAAUUAGUUACAGUUGCUUUGAUUGUUUUGUCCAUAAAAUCUUUCACGUUUCUACUGUCAAAUCUUUUAAAUAGCUGGUUCGACUAAAGGAAUGUGUUCGUAUUUUAUUAUUUUAUGUAUGAUUUUAAUUUUCUAUAUAGUAUUUAAAAGAGAUACUAUCGAUCAUACAUUGUGCCUAAAAAAGUCAUCUUUACAUAAUUCACACUCCAAUCCAUGAUUAAGUGAUUAGAUUCAUAAUUCUUCUCAUUAAGUAUAUAAUAUUGAAAAGCAAUCAUCCUUGUCCUUCUUCCAGCAAACCAAAAUGGUCAUCUUCAUUAUCAACAGAUGUCCUGAAAACCAAUAUAUGGCAUUUAUCAACUUUAUCCAACUGAUAUAAUCUAGAAAGCCUUUUGAGACUGCGAAUUUGGCCUCGGACUGAACUUUUAGACAAGGUGCGAUGACUCUAUUUUUAUUCCAUAUUGCUAAGGUAAUUUGGUUUGUUGACUUAAAGGUGUCUCAACAUUAUAGCAUAGAAUCCAAAUAUCUUGAAUUUAAGCACGACCACAGCAUAUUUGUGAAAAGUCUAUUGUCGGGUCUUCUAUGAUUCCUUUUAUGAUGAUGUGCGUAAUUACUAAAUUUCUUCAGUAUCUUAAUAUUUCCUCCAUUGCUUACUUAACACAUAAUGGAAAUGUCACAAUAUAUAUUAUGCAGUUCUUUGUUAUAUCCUUCUGAACUCUUAACUAAAAGAAAACGACCAGUUGCUUCAGUCUCUUGGUAGUGUCAAGAUUUCAGCAUACGUUGGUUUUCUUUGCUUUUUCUUUCUCUCCUUUUUUUUUUGUUUUUACUUUUUUAUAUCAACUGAAUUCACAUUAUAUGGUUGUUUUUCUUGUUUGAAAUUCUUCGUUGUUGUAGCCAGCUCCCGGAAGGUGAAAGUUUAGGCUGCAAUGUUGUUGUUGCCUCCUCCUUUUUCAGUAGUCUUAUUAUUUGUAGUAUCUGUGUGUAUCAUUCUAGGGUCUUCAACUGUUGGUUCUUUGUUAGUAUCUCCCCUUCUCACUGCAGUCAAUUUUUAGUCCUCUAUCUUUAUGUUCUCUGGAUAGGAGCUUCGGCUUUCCAGAUAAAAAUAAUAAUAAUAAAAUUGAAUUCCUUUUAUCGCUUGAGUUUUAACUAAAAUCUAUUUUUUAUCCAUUAUCGUUCUUUUAAAUUUGUAAAAACUGUUCACUGUGGAUAUAUUUUGUGUUUUAUGAAGACUUAAGAGAUUGUGCACUUGAGAAAAAAGGGACAUACCUUCGGAGCAUGUGAGAAAAUUAUGGUACAACUUUUGUUGCACAAAUCUUUACCUUGAAUUCAUUUAUCUGAACAUCCAAUUCUCUAACCUUAAAAUUUUAUUCUAUCUCUAGGGAAUUUUUUUCGAACUAGCUGAUAAUGCAAUAUAUUUUAUAUGAUGGACAAGGUCGAGGUAAUUGUGUUCUUUAUACUUGUAAGAUAUUUGUUAAGUUUCGAAAAUAAUUAUAUUUAUCUUUUAUUUUCAUGUUGUAUACUUAGAUGUCAACUAAAAAAGCUUGUAAGAGUUCUAAACAUUGAAGUACUGCAAUUGUCGUAGCAAUUCAAGAGACCAAUAAAAGACUAAGAGUUUCUAGUGAAGCAGAAAAUACUAUAUCUACUCCAAUUAUCUAUGAGCAAAACCCAUCGCCGUCAAAUGCAAGUGCUCCGAAGAAGAAAAGAUGCCCAACUCAAGUGAAAAUGGUUCCUGAACAUAAUUUUAAAAAAAUGGAGCUUGAAUUCAAUGAAUUUGGGCAAGUAGUUGGCAGUAACUCCGAUAAAUUUGCUAGCGUUGUUGGAGCUAUGGUACGAGAACAUGUACUUAUUACAAUUAAAGACUGACAUUCAGCAGAUGAAAAGAAAAAAAUGGAACUUUGGACUUUCAUACAGUACGUUUCUUAACUAACUUUUUACGACUAUUUAUUGUAUCAUUUUCCUUCUUAUUGACGCCAUUCUUUUAAGUUUUAAAAUAUAUUUGUGAACAAAUGCAGCAAAUGUUCGAUGUCAAUGAUUGUCAUAAAAAAAAUGACAUUUCAUUGUAUGGGAAAGUAUUGGAAGACAUUCAAAGUAAGAUUGAGAAAACAAAUCAGAACUGAAAUAGAAACAUCUGUUAAUAGAACACGAUCCAUUGCCCACCUUAGACCAAAGAAUGUAAGUCAUGAAGAAGCAUGGGAAAAAUUUCUCAAAGAUACUCUUUCUGCUGACUUCAAAGUAAGAAAUAUUUGCUUAAUAAUGUUAUAUUUUUAUUUAGUUGUUGUUUCUAUUUUUACUAUUUUGUUUUCUUAAUAGGAAAAAAGUUCCACGUUCAGGAAAAAGAGAACGGAUCAAAAGCUUCCUCACACAUUAGGUCGAAAUGGUUAUUCACUUACAACUCUUGAAAUAGUACAAUUACACACCUAUCUUGUCUGGUUAGGAAUGAAGUUUCAUUUCUUCUAAGUUAUAGGUAUUACACACCAUUGUUGAUUUCCUUCAAGUAGUCAUUACGUAAGUACUAAAUUUAUAUUGUAGAGAAAAAAGAAUCCGGAUUUAAAGGGGUUAAGAACUAUAGUAUAGAUGCAUGGCCAUCUUAGAAAGGAUGGUACACCAAUAAAUAAAGCAGUUGCCGCAACUUUGGUACAUGUAUUCUUUCAAUAUAUAUGAUUUAUUAUACAUAUUCAAAGCUAGUAUCUAAUCUGAGUUCCGUAAGUGCAAAAAAGGAUAGAAUAUUGUGUCCAAUCAAUUUCUGAUAGACGAGCAGAAAAUUCCAUCCGCGAUGAUGCUAUUGCUCGAGUUUUUAGUCCUGAACAUCGUGGAAGAGCUAGAGGAUUUGGGUUUGGAGUUGCACCAUCGAAAGUGGAUGGACAAAUUCAAAGUAAUGGGAGAGUGAGAGAACUUGAAGGAAAGGUUGGAGCGCUAGAAGAAAAGGUUGAAGCACUUCUUCAAUUAUCUCAGCAAGUUAUAAACUUUUAUCAUUAUACAUAUACAAUGAUAAUAUAACUUCGUGUAACUCAAUAUGGAGAAUAAAUUUUUAAUUUUUGUAUAAUUUACAGAAUCAAAACAAGAAUGUAGACGACAUGAGUUCACGUGCUUUUACUCAGAUUUUUGUAUCUAAGAAAUUAUUUUGUAUUCACCAUAAACAUAGAAUAUAGCAUACUAAUUUACUUUAAUUUGAUUUUGUAGUCACAACAAGGAAGUGGUAUCCACGGAGGGAUUGCACAUACGAAAAAUGAAAGGUGUCAACUGUUGCAUUGGUACACAUUAGAAGAGGAAGAAAUUGUAGCUAAAGGAAGGAUUGCAUCGAUAGACCCAAGUGCAAAGGUCCAUCACGUACCAAUCGGACGAGAUUGUUGGAAGGUGUGGGUUGAGGAAGUGUAUAUGGGCCAUUUGAACUUAUAUAGACUUAUUGAUGAAUUUCGAGUGCUUAGUGAAGCCAUAGGAAGUACAAUUGCUUGGCCAAAGAGCAGUAUUGGACUUAUUUGACAAGGUAUGUAAUGCAUUUAUGCACUUUUGUAUUUCUGUGUGUAAUAUCUGUGCAUACUAGGAAAAAAUGGUUUGAUAGAUGAAAAUUUCCUAUGUGGUAUUGUUUAUUCAUUAAGAACUGAUCUACUACUGGCAAAAUUCAAGUAUAGCAUCGAUUUUAUAAUCACCUAUCAUAAUCAUGAAGCACAUAUCCUUUUUUUCUUCUAAAUUGAGUAAGCCCUACCUUUGCAUCUCCAUGCAGCAAGAAUAGAUAAUAUGAUCAUGACUGGAAUUUAUAUAUGGUACAGUUGGUUGCUUUUGUAUGUGGAAUAAUUCAUCUCAAGACUCAAUCCUCGUCAAAAAAAAAAAAAAAACUUUAUGAAGGUCCUGGAAUUUUAGCAUGUAAGACAAUUUUACAUUUUCUGUGUUAAUGUCUAUGAAAUUCGAUUAUUUUCCUUCGAAAUGAUUAAAUUUGAUAUAAUUUACAGAAUCUAAUAGAAUAUAUGAUGGUGUUGGUGAAUUGUUUCAGGGAUGAAAGUGGUUGGUGAAUGCUAGCUCCCGGCUUUCUUUUUUGUAGAACUUGGUGAAAGGCAUUUGUAAAGUUUCCAAACUCGACUAAUCAAUUAUCACAUAGCUAAGCUAGAAAUUCAUGACCUUAUUUUGUAACUAGGAUUUAAGUCUUCUACAACUCAUAUCAUAUCCAUAUUUUGUAAUUGUGAGAUGAAUUACAAUAGUUAUCGUUAUGGCAAUGUGUGGGUUUUAUGUUUAUUUUUAUGGAGUAAUGAAAUUAUUAUCAAAU
rnacentral:lncRNA from 1 species